GCGCGUGUAGCUCAGCUGGAUAGAGCACGAGCCUCCGAAGCUCGGGGCCGCAGGUUCGACUCCUGCCACGCGCGCCA
rnacentral:tRNA from 1 species